UGGGCAGCCUCAUGUACCGGUAGCCGACGCCGUGGCACAGAGACAGGGUGCUCGGUAUGGCCUUGCACACCGAGCGGACCGACGAACUGAAGCCGAGGUGAGUUCCACGGCGCUGGAAGCUCUUUCCUGCCUGCUCCCUCCCCUCUCUCGGCGGGCGUAAAUAAAGGAGAAGGUGUGGAGGAAACUGGAGGGUAAACAAGAGGACAGACGCCUGUUAAUCAUCACCCCCACCCCAAAAGGUUGGGUGACUGACUACUUUUUGUCUGCAGUCAAAAUGUCUGCAAGCUGCUCAACUGUCGUGAUGCAUUCAAGUACAGUACAGUCAAAAGAGUUAUGUGAAUAUGCCAUGAGGAGUUUAAGUUAUUGAUUUAUGGGAACUGGACUUGCUUUGCCAAACAUUACACGAUGUUACAAAGAUAAUUGCUUUAUCUAACUUGGAAUGAAGAGUUACUGUAUUGUUCCUGGAUUUAUUGAUACAGGGUCUUUGUGCAUUGGAUGUAAUGAAAAGCAGCACGGUGACAUUUGAAUUAAAAAAAAUUCAUCCAUGCAUCAGGUGAGCAAGAGUCUAUUUUACUACUGAGUGUGGGCGAGCUGUAGGGUUCAUUGUGGACUGGUCGCCACCAACUGCAAGGCAUGAAAAAAAA